GGACAGUAGCCGUUUUUAGAGACAUUGUUGCAAUUCUACUGAAAAUUGGGGCGAAAAGAAAACAAACAAAUCAUGGGAAAACGUCCUGUGUCGAUGACGGAGGAACUACGGAGGCCGAAGAGGGCCAUGAUGAGCGCAACUGUGCUGCGGUGUAAAACCUCAAUUUCCAAAGGCAAGUGCCAACAUGUCGCUUAUUAAUACAUGAAGCCCUGAGGAGGAAAGAGGUGUGCGCAAGCCAGGCCUGGUGGAGGAGCCUCGACGCUCAAAAGCAACUAUGUGCAGGUUCACAAUGUUACAAGGGUCACGGUGAGCCGGCAACACAGGGC